CACACUACCACUGAUUGUCCCUCAAUGUGUAUUGUGUAAUCAGCUCACUACAAACAUAGUAGAACAACAGUUCACUUCUAACUGUAGAAACUGGCUUCACUUCUACUGUAGAAACUGGUUUAACUUCUAACUGUAGAAACUGGCUUCACUUCUAACAGUAGAAACUGGCUUCACUUCUAACUGUAGAAACUGGCUUCACUUC
rnacentral:lncRNA from 13 species